AGGCGGAGGACGGAAACGACCUGUGGGGGAGGGGGAGGGCGUGAACGAGGCGGCGCACGUGAUAGCAUCCGAGCCAAUGAGUGAGCCCCGGUCCGGCCCGUGGGAAGCCAUCUUGAGAGUGGGUACGUGGCGGGUCAGAUGCAGAGAAGCGUGCUUGCGGGAGGUUGCCGCCAUGUUGCAAGCGGGCAAUGGCAGCCGUUGGCCUUCAGCGUGAGGGCAAAGCGAAGUGUGUCGCCAUCUUAAAACCGGGCAGUAAUUCCCUUAUCGCCCCAGCUUGCUUGCGGUCACGUGACCAAAACUUCGCCUUUAAGCCGAGUUUGUCCUAGACUAGAGAGCAGGGCGAUGGAGGCCACGUGCUUCGUAGCCACAGUCCCGACUUGAUUGUGCAGUAUUCCUUUCCAUCUUUUGUCUACCCCACAGCGGCCAAGCGCCACCUCUGUUGCAGCAAUGGGGAAAUUGACAAAACGGACCGGCGUGUGGCCGGCUCUGCCUAUAGCUGGGGAAAACGAGACCACAAAGUGUCGAGUUGUGUGCCCUACAAUUAGGCUCAGGAGCAAGCACAGUCCACUGGAGGACCAGAGCCUCGCCUUCUUGAGCCUCCACCCCGAGACAGCACUCAAAAUGGAUACCCCAGGAGCCAGGGUUCUGCAUUCCAGUCUUGGGGUGGGGGUGAGAGCUGGAGCCGGGUUCUUCAGAGCCUAGUGCAGGCUGUAGAGAGAUUCUGGGCAUGCCUUUGAUGUGGCUCCCAAAGACGCAAAUUAUUCGGAUUCUCGUUGACUUCGUUUUCUGCUAAAAAAAAAAAAAGAAGAAGAAGGAGGAGGAAGAGGAAGAGGAAGAAGAAGAAGAAGAAGAAGAAGAAGAAGAAGAAGAAGAAGAAGAAGAAGAAGAAGAAGAAGAAGAAGAAAAAGCCCAGGAAAGGGGAAAAGUUUCUCCCUCCACAGAGGCCUGGCCAGGGGCCCAACAGCCUUAGAGCCCUAACGCGGGCCUGGUGCCAGAGGAUUCCAGCCUGGAUUAGGGGCGGCUGCCGAUUUCCACGGAGGCCCCUCCAGGAGAGGUCUUUAAGGCCCCAGUCAGCCCGCAGAACAGCUAGCUUGAAGGCCCAGAAUCACUAAUCAGGACCGUCCCGCGGAUUUAGAAGAAGCCUCCCAGCAAGCAGAGGAUUUGAGCCCUCUGGGACUCCCAUCAGGUCCUGACUGCACCAUUCGAGGCCAAGGUUGACUGCCAGUCUUUGUUCUCUUGGCUGGUGCCAAGCAUGGGCCCCACCCUCGGAAGCCAACCUGUAUUGGUGUAUGUGCUGGGGUGGAGACUGCCGGUCUCCAAGCACAGGUCUACACUGGCUAAGUCUAUUAAAAGCCACUUUGGAGCCUG